rnacentral:snRNA from 1 species
CCGGAUAUCUCCCAAUUU